UAUAUAUUGUACAGGAUUUGGUGAUGGUUUCUCUUAUUGGUAUUUUUAUUUCUGUCUUGUGUGAAGUGUGAGAGUGCGUGCGUGCUUGUGUGCAUCAGCGAACCAUUUGCUUUACCCAGGCGACCCGUUUCCCCGCUUCGAACCUGAAGAAAGCCAUGGUCGGUGGUCGUCAUUAUAUGAUCUGCCACUUGGCUUCGAACUCCACACUGAUGCAUAUUCCUCCAUAUUUUGUAUGAGGGUGGAAGACUCCCCACCGUGGUCACAUACCCUAGGCUGCAUUCCCUGGGCUGUAUUACCCUGGGCUAUACUAUCCCGGUCUACACUAUCCUGGUCCGCACUAUCCCGGGCCACAUAUCCUGGUCCGCAUUAUCCCGGUCCACACUAUCCCAAGCUGCCUGACCCCGUGCGACAUGACCCCGGGCUGGACUUCAUCGGACUUCUAUAUAAGAUAUAUAUAUAUCUGUGCAACAGUGAUUUUUAUUUGUUGCAUAUUGAAAAUAUAUAUUGAAUAUAAUGGCAAGUUUACUUCUUCCCCUUUGAAGCAAGCUAUUCCCCAGAGGAUAAAAGAAAAGAACAAGAGCUUAGCUCAUGGUAAUUUCCGACAAGUCUGUUGAAUAAGAGAUCUUGUUACUGAACGAAAUACUAUAUAAAUUAUCAAAUGAGCGGAAACCUUGGACACACACACAUACAGAUAUA